rnacentral:rRNA from 1 species
UGGGGAAUAUUGGACAAUGGGCGAAAGCCUGAUCCAGCCAUGCCGCGUGAGUGAUGAAGGCCCUAGGGUUGUAAAGCUCUUUCGGCGGGGACGAUAAUGACGGUACCCGCAGAAGAAGCCCCGGCUAACUUCGUGCCAGCAGCCGCGGUAAUACGAAGGGGGCUAGCGUUGUUCGGAAUCACUGGGCGUAAAGCGCAUGCAGGCGGAUCGUUAAGUCGGGGGUGAAAGCCCGAGGCUCAACCUCGGAAUUGCCUUCGAUACUGGCGAUCUUGAGUCCGGGAGAGGUGAGUGGAACUCCGAGUGUAGAGGUGAAAUUCGUAGAUAUUCGGAAGAACACCAGUGGCGAAGGCGGCUCACUGGCCCGGUACUGACGCUGAGAUGCGAAAGCGUGGGGAGCAAA